AUAUGGUCAAGUUACUAAGGGUGUAUGGAGGAUGUCUUGGCGUCGAGAGGCGAUGAAGGACGUGGCUGACUGCGAUAAGCCCGGGGCAGGUGUCGAGCAACCGUCAAUCCCGGGAUCUCCGAAUGGGGCAACCCGUUGCCACUGGGCAACCAGAUGGCAUCACCGGCGGCUGAAUGCAUAGGCCGUCUGGAGCGAACGCAGGGAACUGAAACAUCUCAGUACCUGCAGGAAGAGAAAUCAACCGAGACUCCGUCAGUAGCGGCGAGCGAAAGCGGAAGAGCCCAAACCAGGGGGCUUGCUCCCUGGGGUUGCGGGCGCCGACAAGACCAAUGCGACGGUUAGGCGAACGAUCUGGAAAGUUCGACCAUAGAAGGUGAUAGUCCUGUAGGCGAAAGCCGAAGCAUUGGGUUGGCGUUCCAGAGUAGCGCGGAGCUCGUGAAACUCUGCGUGAAGCUGGGGGGACCAUCCUCCAAGGCUAAGUACUCCUCGACGACCGAUAGUGGAAAGUAGCGCGAGCGAACGAUGAAAAGAACCCCUAUUAGGGGAGUUAAAAGGACCUGAAACCAUACACCUACAAGCGGUCGGAGCCCUAUGACUCGUCUGCGGACGAGUAACGGGUGACGGCGUGCCUUUUGCAUAAUGAACCGGCGAGUUACCGUUUGCGGCAAGGUUAAGCACUUCAGGUGCGGAGCCGUAGCGAAAGCGAGUCUUAAAAGGGCGACACAGUCGCAGGCGGUAGACGCGAAGCCAAGUGAUCUACCCAUGGCCAGGUUGAAAGGGAUGUAAAAAUCCCUGGAGGACCGAACUCACUAACGUUGAAAAGUUAGGGGAUGAGCUGUGGGGAGGAGUGAAAGUCUAAUCAAACUUGGAGAUAUCUCGUUCUCUCCGAAAUAGCUUUUGGGCUAGCCUUGAGUGAUUACUCUACGGGGGUAGAGCUACUGAAUGGGGAUAGGGGACCACCAGUCUACCUACCUCAACCAAACUCCGAAUACCGUAGAGCGUACCUCAGGAGUAAGACUACGAGUGAUAACAUCCGUGGUCGAAAGGGAAACAACCCGGAUCGCCAGCUAAGGUCCCAGAGUUUUGCUCAGUUCGUAAGGAAGUUGAAUUGCGGUGACAGCCAGGAUGUUGGCUUAGAAGCAGCCACCAUUUAAAAAGUGCGUAAUAGCUUACUGGUCGAGCAGUUCGGCGCCGAUAAUGAACGGGAAUAAGCAAGACACCGAAGCUGCGGAUUGGGCGAUGGUUGCGACUGUUGCCCAGUGGUAGGAGAGCGUUGCUAUCCGCGUGGAAGCCGUACCGUAAGGAGCGGUGGAGCGUUAGCAAGUGAUUAUGCCGGCAUGAGUAACGAUAAAACAGGUGAGAAUCCUGUUCGCCGAAAGCCUAAGGUUUCCUGGGGAAGGUAAAUCCGCCCAGGGUUAGUCGGUCCCUUAGUCGAGGCCGAAAGGCGUAGACGAUGGACAGCAGGUUAAUAUUCCUGCACCAGGUCAUUGGACGAAAUCCGUGACGCAUCUUUCAGAGUCAUCCCACGACUAGUCGGGUGGGUCCCGCAAGGGCGAGGCCGAUUUACGAUGCCGAAGUGGCUGGCGAAGAUGCCGAGAAACAGCGGAUGUAGGUUGAAGAUGGCCUGUCCGUACCGCAAACUGACACAGGUAGGCGAGGAGAGUAUCCUCAGGCGCUCGAGAGAACCGUCCUUAAGGAACUAGGCAAUUUUACCCCGUAACUUCGGGAUAAGGGGUCCCUCCGCGUGCGUUUGAUUUAUCAGGCGUAUGGCGAGGGCGCAGAGAAAUGGCUCUGGCGACUGUUUAUCAAAAACACAGUUCUGUGCCAACUCCCAAAGAGGAUGUAUACAGAAUGACGCCUGCUCGGUGCCGGAAGGUUAAGGGGAAGGGUUACCCCGCCCUAUUUUGCCCAGGAGGUAUCUCAUGCACUAUGUGUAUGUGUUGCUCGACCAGCGGUCGGGCAAGACGUACAUAGGCUACACCAGUGACCUGAAAACAAGGGUAGCCAACCAUCAGCGCGGCGUGGGCUGCAAGACCACGCAAAGCGGGGAUUGGCGGCUGGUGUACUAUGAAGCGUUUCUGGACCAGGAUGAUGCGCGCGAAAGAGAAAGCAAGCUGAAGCAUCAUGGGAUGGCCAGGAAGAAGCUGUUCGACAGAGUGCAGAGGUCACUUGCUGGUCGAAAUAGGGCGGGGGAAGCUCCCAACUGAAGCCCCGGUAAACAGCGGCCGUAACUAUGACGGUCCUAAGGUAGCGAAGUUCCUUGUCGGGUAAGUUCCGACGUGCAUGAACGGCGUAACGACUGGAGCACUGUCUCAAGGACGGACUCGGUGAAAUUGUAGUUGUGGUGAAGAUACCACUGUCCCGCAGCAACACGGAAAGACCCCGUGAACCUUUACUGUAGCCUGGUAUUGAUGCCUGGCAUAACAUGCGUAGGAUAGGUGGGAGGCUGUGAAGCCCGGGUUCCGGCCCGGGCAGAGCCAACCUUGAAAUACCACCCUUGCUAUGUUAGUCACCUAACCAUGACCCGUGUAUCCGGGCAUGGAACCGUGCUAGGUGGGCAGUUUGACUGGGGCGGUCUCCUCCCAAAAUGUAACGGAGGAGUUCAAAGGCACACUCAGCGUGGUUGGCAAUCACGUUUAGAGCGCAAGGGUACAAGUGUGCUUAACUGCGAGACCCAAUACGUCGAGCAGAUGCGAAAGCAGGACCUAGUGAUCCGGCGGUUCCGUAUGGAAGGGCCGUCGCUCAACAGAUAAAAGGUACUCCGGGGAUAACAGGCUGAUGACUCCCGAGCGUUCACAGCGGCGGAGUCGUUUGGCACAUCGAUGUCGGCUCAUCACAUCCUGGGGCUGAAGGCGGUCCCAAGGGUUGGGCUGUUCGCCCAUUAAAGUGGUACGCGAGCUGGGUUCAGACCGGCGUGAGCCAGGUCGGUCCCUAUGUGCUGUGGGCGUAGGAAUCUUGCGGGGCCAUUUCCUUAGUACGAGAGGAUUAGGAAGUACCGACCGCUGGUGUACCGGUUGUCCCGCUCGGGGCACCGCCGGGUAGCUACGUCGGGAAAGGAUAACCGCUGAAAGCAUCUAAGUGGGAAGCCUACCCCAAGAUAAGGAUUCCGUGCGGGUUCGCCCGCUGAAGGGCCCUGGUAGACGACCAGGUUGAUAGGCCGGAGGUGUACGUGCAGAGAUGCAUUGAGCUGACCGGUACUAACGCCCAACGACUUGACCAUAU
rnacentral:rRNA from 1 species